rnacentral:rRNA from 1 species
GUGCCAGCAGCCGCGGUAAUACGUAGGUGGCAAGCGUUGUCCGGAUUUAUUGGGCGUAAAGCGAGCGCAGGCGGUUUUGUAAGUCUGCUGUGAAAGCCCUCAGCUUAACUGAGGAAGUGCAGUGGAAACUACAAAACUUGAGUACAGAAGAGGAUAGUGGAACUCCAUGUGUAGCGGUGAAAUGCGUAGAUAUAUGGAAGAACACCAGUGGCGAAGGCGGCUGUCUGGUCUGUUACUGACGCUGAGGCUCGAAAGCAUGGGUAGCGAACAGGAUUAGAUACCCUGGUAGUCCAUGCCGUAAACGAUGACAAUUAGCUGUUGGGGUACUAGAUGCCUUAGUAGCGAAGCUAACGCGUGAAAUUGUCCGCCUGGGGAGUACGGUCGCAAGAUUAAAACUCAAAGGAAUUGACGGGGACCCGGCACAAGCGGUGGAUGAUGUGGAUUAA